rnacentral:rRNA from 2 species
AGGGGGAUAACUACUGGAAACGGUAGCUAAUACCGCAUGACCUCGCAAGAGCAAAGUGGGGGACCUUCGGGCCUCACGCCAUCGGAUGUGCCCAGAUGGGAUUAGCUAGUAGGUGAGGUAAUGGCUCACCUAGGCGACGAUCCCUAGCUGGUCUGAGAGGAUGACCAGCCACACUGGAACUGAGACACGGUCCAGACUCCUACGGGAGGCAGCAGUGGGGAAUAUUGCACAAUGGGCGCAAGCCUGAUGCAGCCAUGCCGCGUGUGUGAAGAAGGCCUUAGGGUUGUAAAGCACUUUCAGCGAGGAGGAAGGGUUGAGUGUUAAUAGCACUGAACAUUGACGUUACUCGCAGAAGAAGCACCGGCUAACUCCGUGCCAGCAGCCGCGGUAAUACGGAGGGUGCAAGCGUUAAUCGGAAUUACUGGGCGUAAAGCGCACGCAGGCGGUUUGUUAAGUCAGAUGUGAAAUCCCCGAGCUUAACUUGGGAACUGCAUUUGAAACUGGCAAGCUAGAGUCUUGUAGAGGGGGGUAGAAUUCCAGGUGUAGCGGUGAAAUGCGUA